GAGGAGGAGGAGGAGGAGGAGGAGGAAGAGUUGGACCCCAGGAUACAGGAAGAAUUGGAACAUCUCAAUGAGGCCAAUGCUGAAAUCAAUCGCGUGGAGCUGCAGUUGGAUGACGCUCGCACGGCCUACCGGCGCAUCCUAUCCGAGUCGGCGCGGAAGCUGAACGCGCACGGAUCCCAAUUGGGCGCCUGCAUCGACAAAGCGCGGCCCUAUUACGAGGCGCGGCGCCUGGCCAAGGAGGUGGGGGGUU